rnacentral:lncRNA from 1 species
UGAACUAUUACAAAUUUUAUAAUAUUUUGUGUAUUAUUGGAGCUAAUGAAAAUAUCAUAUUAAGGAGCUCUUUUUUGAAUUUUCACUCAAUAAGAUUAGAUUUGGUAAGUAAAUAAGUAUGCUGUGGAGAUAUUGUUUCCUAAGCUAGAGAAGUUGAAACUAUCCUCAAUUGGCAUUGAAAGAAUAUGGCUUCCCCAAGCAUUUUGUUCAACUCAAAAUUUGACAAGCUUGAUCAUUGAGGGUUGCGCUCACAUAAAGCAUGUGGUAUCCGACUCCAUGAUUAAAUAUUUGCAGCAGCUCAAAUGCUUGGAAGUAAGUGAAUGCAAAUGCAUGCAGGAGAUAAUAUCAAUGGAGAAGCAGAUCAAAGAAGCAUUCUAAAACAGAGGAUUAAAUUGCUUCCCUCGAUUGAACUCCCUCAAAUUGAAAGAUCUUCAGAAACUCAUUGGAUUUUGCCAUGAAGAUUAUACCGUUGACUUCCCAGCCUUAAAGAUUCUUGAGAUAGAAAACUGUCCAGAAUUGAAGGCAUUCAUCCAUAAAUCUAUCGACAAAGAUAACCCUACUGAUGGAGUUUUGUUCAAUGAAAAUGUACUGUUUUUAACGCAGUGAAUUGUACCUUAUUUCCAUUUCUCUUGUUAUAAUUAACUCUUCUAAUCAUUUCUUCCACUGACAUGAAUACUGACAUCAACUAUAUUACUUCUGUUAAAUUCACCAUCUCUAAACAACAUAAAUUCAAGGAUUAACUAAACAUAACAAUAAAAAGAAUUCAAAACCCCAAAAAGAACAAAUCUUGCAGAGACCCAAAAUUAAAAACACGAAAAAAAAUGGAAACAUGAUUACAUAUGGCUUGUAAAUUGAAGGUUUAGCUGACCUGUAAUGAAUUUGGAUUUCCUUCGAAAUAAAUUGAAGCCUUGAGUGGAGCCUGGAAAGAAGCAGAAAUGGCGAUAACUAGGCGCAGGCAAGGCAACCAAGAAGAGGAAUAAAUUAGGAGGAAUGGAAAGCUUAAAAACCCAAAACCCUUGAGAGCGGCUUACGAAUUUUGUACAUUCAAGAUUGGAGUUUUGAUCAAAAGGACUCUCUUUUCGUCUCAAAUAGCAGUUUGUAAAUGUAGCCCUCAGGCUUGCAAACCCGAUAUGGCUUGUAAUCGUAAAUGGGUUAUUGGAUUAAUUUGGGUAAAAUAAUGAGACCCCUCAUAAUUUCAACAAAACUAUAUAAACUUCUAUUUUUUUUUUUAAAAAGGCUAAAGUAUUUAUUAGAAAAAUACAUUAUUACAGAAGAAGAGUUUAUCUUCAACUAUCCUGAUCAAAUAAAUUAUUAUAUUAAACCUAUAAAUAGACAACACACAUGGAGAAGAUGUAUCAAUUGAAGGAGUGUUGUGCUGAUUUUUUUAUUUGUAUUAUUGCACUCUAUUCUUAAGCUUUAUUUGUGAGAAAUUAAACUUUCGUAAGAUUGAAAUAAAACCAUCAUUGUGGUCUUGCAUUGAACAAGUCUACAUAGAAUAAAAUU